UACAGAGGAGCCAAGCGUUGUCCGGAUUGACUGGGCGUAAAGCGCACGUAGGCGGCCUUGUAAGUUAGAGGUGAAAGCCCAGGGCUCAACCCUGGAAUUGCCUUUAAGACUGCAUCGCUUGAACACGGGAGAGGUGAGUGGAAUUCCGAGUGUAGAGGUGAAAUUCGUAGAUAUUCGGAAGAACACCAGUGGCGAAGGCGGCUCACUGGACCGUUGUUGACGCUGAGGUGCGAAAGCGUGGGGAGCAAACAGG
rnacentral:rRNA from 1 species